rnacentral:rRNA from 1 species
AGUGAACGCUGGCGGUAGGCCUAACACAUGCAAGUCGAACGGCAGCACAGUAAGAGCUUGCUCUUACGGGUGGCGAGUGGCGGACGGGUGAGGAAUACAUCGGCAUCUACUUUUUCGUGGGGGAUAACGUAGGGAAACUUACGCUAAUACCGCAUACGACCUACGGGUGAAAGCAGGGGAUCUUCGGACCUUGCGCGAUUGAAUGAGCCGAUGUCGGAUUAGCUAGUUGGCGGGGUAAAGGCCCACCAAGGCGACGAUCCGUAGCUGGUCUGAGAGGAUGAUCGCCCACACUGGAAGUGGGACACGGUCCAGACUCCUACGGGAGGCAGCAGUGGGGAAUAGUAGACAAUGGGCGCAAGCCUGAUACAGCCAUACCGCGUGGGUGGAGAAGGCCUUCGGGUUGUAAAGCCCUUUUGUUGGGAAAGAAAAGCAGCAGGUUAAUACCCCGCUGUUCUGACGGUACCCAAAGAAUAAGCACCGGCUAACUUCGUG